rnacentral:rRNA from 1 species
AAUAUUGGGCAAUGGACGAAAGUCUGACCCAGCCAUGCCGCGUGGAGGAUGAAGGNCCNNUGGAUNGNAAACUUCUUUUAUCUNNNNNGAAACCCACGGUUUCCACUGUGGUUGACGGUACCAGAUGAAUAAGCACCGGCUAACUCCGUGCCAGCAGCCGCGGUAAUACGGAGGGUGCAAGCGUUAUCCGGAUUCACUGGGUUUAGAGGGUGCGUAGGCGGGUUGCCAAGUCCGUGGUGAAAUCUCUGAGCUUAACUCAGAAACUGCCGUGGAUACUGGUAAUCUUGAAUAUCGCGGAGGCGAGCGGAAUAUGUCAUGUAGCGGUGAAAUGCUUAGAUAUGACAUAGAACACCGAUAGCGAAGGCAGCUUACUACACGAUCAUUGACGCUGAGGCACGAAAGCGUGGGGAGCAAACAGG